AGGGAAUCUUCCGCAAUGGACGAAAGUCUGACGGAGCAACGCCGCGUGAGUGAAGAAGGCCUUCGGGUCGUAAAACUCUGUUGCCGGGGAAGAACAAGUGCCGUUCGAACAGGGCGGCGCCUUGACGGUACCCGGCCAGAAAGCCACGGCUAACUGCGUGCCAGCAGCCGCGGUAAUACGUAGGUGGCAAGCGUUGUCCGGAAUUAUUGGGCGUAAAGCGCGCGCAGGCGGUCUUUAAGUCUGAUGUGAAAGCCCACGGCUCAACCGUGGAGGGUCAUUGGAAACUGGGAGGCUUGAGUGCAGAAGAGGAGAGUGGAAUUCCACGUGUAGCGGUGAAAUGCGUAGAGAUGUGGAGGAACACCAGUGGCGAAGGCGGCUCUCUGGUCUGUAACUGACGCUGAGGCGCGAAAGCGUGGGGAGCAAAC
rnacentral:rRNA from 1 species